GGUGGUGUGGUGUAAUGGUAGCACGUGACGUUGUGGUUGUUCUUCCCCGGAGACAUCUACACUGACCCGUUUCAAUCUGGGUUCGAUUCCCAGCACCGCCA
rnacentral:tRNA from 1 species